GACGAACGCUGGCGGCGUGCCUAAUACAUGCAAGUCGAGCGAAUCAAUGGGAGCUUGCUCCCUGAGAUUAGCGGCGGACGGGUGAGUAACACGUGGGUAACCUGCCUGUAAGACUGGGAUAACUUCGGGAAACCGGAGCUAAUACCGGAUACGUUCUUUUCUCGCAUGAGGAGAGAUGGAAAGAUGGUUCUGCUAUCACUUACAGAUGGACCAGCGGCGCAUUAGCUAGUUGGUGAGGUAACGGCUCACCAAGGCGACGAUGCGUAGCCGACCUGAGAGGGUGAUCGGCCACACUGGGACUGAGACACGGCCCAGACUCCUACGGGAGGCAGCAGUAGGGAAUCUUCCGCAAUGGACGAAAGUCUGACGGAGCAACGCCGCGUGAGCGAAGAAGGCCUCCGGGUCGUAAAGCUCUGUUGUUAGGGAAGAACAAGUACGAGAGUAACUGCUCGUACCUUGACGGUACCUAACCAGAAAGCCACGGCUAACUACGUGCCAGCAGCCGCCGCCG
rnacentral:rRNA from 1 species